rnacentral:lncRNA from 1 species
CAACCAUUUAGUUGGUCGCAAACACUCUUCAUCCCGCUGCUAUCGUCGUCACCACCACCACUCAAAAACGAACAAACCUAACACACCACUAAAUGCAGUAAACUACCACCGUUAUCAUUCUCUAGCGAUGGUGGUGGUACAGAUUCAUCCUACCCAUCACCGCCACUGCCAUCGCCACCACACCACAACCACUACCAACACCAACACCAACACCACCACCAACAACACUGCUACCAUCAUAUCCAUCGUCAACAAAAAUCAUCCCAACACCUAAACAUGAAAACCACCACCACUCAUAAAACCAUCAAACCCAAAACACCAUAAAAUGCAGCAAACUACCACCAUCAUCAUUCUCUACUAGCGGCACUCAAAACUCAUCAUCGGAGACGAUGCAAUCUCUUCUCUUUUCAUCAGCGAUAC